AGGCACGUUGUGCAACGCUCAAGGAGAGUGAGCAGUGAGCAACACGCGUGUCGUGCGUUCCUGCGUGCUCCCGGACGCAUAUGCGCACGCUCGAUGAUAAUCGACAGAAAGAGAAAGGUCAUCGGGGGGAACGAAGUUUCGCUUCCUCUUCCUUGUUGCGAUUACACGAGUAGGUAAGCGGGUACCGAAAUUGCGGAGAGUGUGACGCAACGUGCAGCUGUACGUAGGUACUUACGUGCAUAUAUGAAUAUAUGUAGGAACGGUCUCGUACACAUGCAUACAUGCAUACUUACAUGCGUGUAUUUAGAUAAAAUAUUGGAUACGCCUGCGGAAACACGGCACUGCACGACAUACAGAAUUCGCGCGUUUAUUCGUAACCGUGAGUCGCCGUCCAUUACAGGGCUCGAAACGGUACAUGAAAGAAUUUGAAUUCGACAAUUUGUAAUUUUUUCGUUUCCGUCAGUUGUUUAUGGCGCGUUAAUUUGAACUACAUAGGUACUUAUGUAGCGACCCUAGCGAGUUCUGUCGGAUCGACAGAAUAGCAGACUUCUUUGAUAUGCAUCCAAGGACAGUUAUGUUUCACGAAGACCUGUGCGAAGUCGGUAGUUGGCUUUGGCAUCGUGAGUAUUGAUCGCAACGGGAAUUCAAAGGGGAGGCCACCACGUUAGGCUACUCGAACCCCAAUUGGAUCGACCUACCUCGUAGUAGUAGGCAACAGAAGGGGGGCUCUGCCGCGGCCUAUUUCUUAGCGUAUCGAAGUUCCCCAACCAAAACGCUCAUUUUUUAAUUUACUUUAUAUCCUAGACAAAUAUCAGCUCCUGCAUGAAUAAACCAAGACAGUUUUAGACCGGCUUAGUAUUUUUGGCGUAGCCGGUUCGAACGAGAUGAUACGUUUCAGAGAAACGAAAUGGAGGACUUCAGCAGGAGACCGAUGUGCUGUUAGUUGGGAAGACCUUGAGCGUUAAUUACUCUCAGACGAGAACGACGCGAUGUACUAACUUUUUUCGCAAAAUGGCCGUACUUAUAUAAUCUUUGGCAAUGCUUUUGGCGUUGCGAUUGUAGGAACGACUGCUGCUGGCAAGAUGUGGGACUAAUUUACACGAAUUUCAUUGUUUCCAUUCUGCUCGAUCAACGUCGUGCAACACGCUGUCGUGCACCGCGAUCGUUGCAUAACGCCAUCUUUUUAAUGACCAUACGACGUCUCCGUAAUGAAGUAGUCACGCCAAGCUGUCUGCACGUGGAACAUAUAGGGUGUCCCAUUUAAUGGGAAUAUAUCAUCGGGAAUAUCUUGGAAACUGAAAUAAUUCGAUGAAGAAUAUCCGAUAAGAAUAUGUGAAAGAAAUAAACGUUGCUAACGACAGCCAAUAAACUUUGUCGGUGUCACGUUGUGGCACAUCGUUUUGAUUUAACGCGCAUACUUUUGUGUCGUCCGAGAAGGUUCGCAUGCUAGAGUUCCACAGAUAAGCACGUUCUUAUCAGCGUAUGUACUUACGUAAGCAACGAGUCGUGCUGGGUAGCAGAAGUUUGGGCGCGUCGUGGAUGACAGACAGUCACGUGGACAUGGCGCGUGCCGGAAACUGUCAAAAGAUACGAGAGAAGUCUGAUCUUGUUAAAAUGUGGUGCGGUGGCAGAAGACAAAGAUCGGUUAGCGGACAUUUAUGCAUGGACGGUGACCUCUUCGUUAUCGGUAGAUCGAAAACAACGAAUCACAGACAAAGCAGAGGUUGCAAAUCUAGUGGACGGAGCGUUUCCACGGAUUUAUCGCUGAAACGAUGGUUUCGAGGAAGCCAGAGUAAAUCGACGAAUGCACCUUGGGAUUCUUGUUACUUGCUAGCUAACUCGAUGGAUCAGCAUUGGACGCGAAACAAUAGGCGCGAACGGGUGACAUAAGAUGAGCAGCUCGACAAAAUAGUUGGUCUCCGUCGGUGGCCUCGCUCUAGAAUCGCUCUAGAUCGCCAUCUAGGGUGAGGAGGGCGCGAGGAGAAGGUGAAAGAGGAGGACAGAGCAGGGCAGGGCAAAGAGGGGCUGAGGUCAGCAGUACAACGCUGCUAGCUGCUGUACCAGCUCAAUACCAGCUCUGACCCAUUUGGCAACGUUCCCGAGUUCGGGCCACGGGAUUUCCCCGUAUGAGAUCACCGUUUUUAUUUUUCCAACUUUUUUUUUUUCUUUUCCCCUCUAUCUUACUGCCGCAUCCAUAUUUCCCAUAAUUCAUGCACCAUGGGAGAGCUUCGUGGGAAAAUAAUCGGCGCCACUACCGUUCUACCAUUCACCUAGGCACCUUUCGAAAUACGAGGAGAUUUUUCUUUUCUGAACGACACUUGAAAACUGACCUAGAUUGUAUUGGCACGAUUAAAACGAAGAAACGAGCGUGAAUAAACGAGGGUGUACAAGAUGGACCAUUAAGCUUA